CCCCGGUACUCCUGCACCCAGGGGAACGCUGCAUCUCCUGGGAAGCCUGCGACCUCCGUCCUCGGGACACGUGCUGGAAGGUACAACGUCUCCAGAACGUGAAAUCUUGCCAAAUUUCCAUCAGGAGGGCCACAUGUGCCGCACACGGAGCUUCCCAGCCUCUGGGUCGCAUCAGCGCUACAGCUGCGGGCCCACACCACAGCCACAGCCACAGCCACAGCAGAGGGAACCGUGUCCGGCCAGAGGGCUCAGGGCCCGAGGGUUACGAUUUCUGAGUCAGCCCUGGAGAGGGUUCACGGGCGCGCUGGGCAACAGCGGGGCUGUCGGGCUCUCCGGUCAAGCGAUCGCACAGCCCUGGCCCUGAUUUCUCCUCUUCCACCCUGAGAGGCCUGGGCGUUCCGGCCACAGAGCCAGCUCUGACCUGCCGCUCCAGAGUCGCUUACAAGUCUUGGGGUUUUUUAGGCCAUUUCUUAGCAUCACAGGCCCAGCGGACCUUACGGGCCAUUUUGCUGGGGUCUCAGUGAUACUCUCAUGGGAGGCUCUCAAGCUGCUUCUUAGUCUCUCCUCGUUUGAAGCGCCUGCUUCCCGCUCCUUCCAUCCGCUGAUGACAGCUUGGGUCCUGAGGAUCCGAAGAACAAAGCUGCGCCUUCCGCCCUGAGACAAGCGGCAUCGGUCAGGACGGGCCAGGUGGUGCUGCAGUAAGAAACAAGGCUCGGCGCGGGGGCUCGGCCCAGCAGAGCGGCCUCUCUCGCCUACACCACGAGUCCCGCACGGGCUGCGUGGCUGCGCUCUGCCGUCAGAAUCACGCGGCCACACGGAGUGCUGGGAGCAGCACGGUGACACCUGCCUCCGUAGGCGUGAAAACAGGAUCCGAGGCUUGCCGGCAGGGGAGGCAGCCACGGGCUCUGGAGUCUUGGCUACAACCACGUAUUUCCUUCAGGCAAAUUCGUCUCUUUAGACGUCAGCUCAUCUGUCAGUGAGGCUAAUGACAAGGGCCCGCUCCACAGGUCUGCUGUGAGGUUAACCGAGAGGCCAGCGUCUGGCUCACAGAAAGAGCUCCACAGGUGCCGGGUUUUGAAGGGCGUGAGCAGAGUGCUGUCCUCCCCGAGGGGCUGCCACCUCCAGACGGGACACGGGCAGCCUUCCUCCUCGUGUGCAGCAACUGAAAUUCCUUCGCAGAGCUUGUUUUCUGCAAGUCACUGUCACAUGACCCUUUACGCAUCUUCUCUCCCGAGAGAGAACUCUAAGGGUUCAAGCACUGAGGCGCCAAAAGACGGAUCCAUGGUCUUGGCAGCUCCAGCCCCGAUGGGUCCCGUUCGAGGCCUAUCACUAAGUUCUUCCGAGAAGCCCCGAGAAGGGAGGUCAGCUCUGGAGCGCAAUCCUUGCUGGACAUAAACCCCGUCGUAGAGGGACACACACCAAACUGGCGGACAUCGAAGUCGGAAGCGACUCGUAGAACAAGCGAGUCUCACACGUGGGGAAACAAGUCCAGAGAGGGAGGGGGACUGACACAGCGUCACACAGCAAUCCGCGUCAGAGCAGGGGCCAGAACCCGCUUCCUUCAACCCCAGGCUUUGCGCACCGCGGAAGGGGACGGGCUUCUCCACCCCUGGGGCAGGGCGAGGAGGGGGCAGCUCUCUCGGAACGAGGGCUUGUCCUCAUUUCACAGGGUUGUGCUCCGGCGGAGUUGUAAAGUGAACAACUUUAUAAACAUUACCUUAUUAAGGCUUCUUGGAAACCCAAAGUCACAGCUCCUCUGGGUCAUGGGACAUGCACUGAGCAUCCAGUGAACAAACAAAGGGGAACGUUCCAUUUUUCACUUCGUUUAGAAAACCUGCCUUCUAAUUAUAGGAUGUGUUUAACA